rnacentral:lncRNA from 1 species
UUACUUCAUUGCUUUUAAAUGCAAUUUUAGUUGUUUGGAAUGUUAUAUAUUAUAAUAAAAGCAAAGAUAAAUGGACACUAGUAAAAUGCCUUGGAAUAUUCUUAUAUAUUAGAAUAGUGUAAUAUUUCUCUUAUUUGUUUACCAACGUAAACCAAUAACGUCGAUCAUUACAGCUGUUAUCUACUUCUUUUUGUAUUUGACGUAUACGAUAUUGGUCGAGCAUAUGAGUAAGAGAUAAUUCUCUGACUUUUUUAUGAAUGUGACCUAACAUUAUCGUUCGUUACAGCUGUUAUCAUUAAUUUUUUGUAUUUGACGAGAGAUAAUGUAGUUUGAGUGUAUUAUAAAACAUAAUGCCCUCUCCUUUUGUCAAUGUGACCCAACAAUAUCCUUCAUUACAGAUGUUAUCAUUAAUUUUCUAUGUGUAAUUAACGCGAAUAAUGUCGUUUGAACAUAAAAUAAAGCAUAUACGGAUCUUAUACUUGUAAAGUUGAAUAUAUCAAGACAUUGUUUAUGAUACAAGUUGAAAGGUCAACAUUGUACAAUGUUAUUAAGCCUCGUUUGACGGUCAUUAUUGAGGAAAAAAUUGAUGUUUUUCAUGACUAUUUUUUAUGAGAAUGUGUGGUUACAAGUAGGAAUAUAUUUUGAAUUUACGUGUAAUACAUUUUUAUUAUGUAAAUGUGUCAUUGAAAAAGAGUAUGAUAAUUAAAGAGUUUUGUAGUUUUAUUUUAAAUGGAGACAAACAGAGACUUAAUUUCUCGAUUG